CUCGUAUGGUUUCUGAUCGCACCCGAGAGUGGGAGCGCUUGCCCACCUGAGCAGCGCCCCCCGAGCCCCUGGGGGAGGCCCUGAGACCCCCAGAUGAUGCUGGCAAGGUGCCGUCGAGGAGCCAAGAAGAUUGGGGAGGAUUUUCCAGAAAGUGAGAGAGGAGGAGAAUUUUAGAAAACAUAUUCCUGUGCUAAAUACGCUGCCUGCAGGAGAAAAGAGAUAAGCUGUGAAGAAGCGUGUGUAUCGUCUGCAAGAGGCUGCGACAGGCACGUUCGCGCCAGAUGUCGGGUCUGUGUCCCUGCCGCCGGGUGCCCACCUUGCCCAUUUCGUACCGAGACACGUUCAGGGCACAGUUCCUCCAUCUCACUGCAGAAGACAUGGCCCGGCUCCGGAUGUGUGCUAGCAAACAGCCUUUUUCGAUAGGACUUAUUGAAACUAGACAAAGAGACAAACGGGUCUGGAGUAGUGAGCAGCCCGUGACCUCUCUAACUUUGAGGAAGGAAAACCACUGUCAAAAGUGCAGCUGAGCUGAGGCCUACAGAGGCCAGACAACUCUGGGCGAGUGAGCCAGAUUUGUUCCAGACUCACACAUCAACGUAACUGUUAACUGAAUUGCAGCGGCAGAGCCGGUGGAAGCGACGAUGUGCCCGCCAGGACAAACAGCUACGCUUUCGCGUCCCCGGAGAGCUCACGGGGUGCGUGGCGGGGAGGCGGGGGGCGGGGGGGGAAAAAGGAAAAGCGAAAACACGGUGCUUUUCCUUACCUAUAAACUAGCUUGUUUUGAAAAGGAAAAAAAAAAAACAAAAAACCACUCAGAGGCCUCUGAGGCUUGAACAGUUCUUGUAAGAGCAGCUCCCUGGGUUGUACCUCCCUGCGGGAGGGGGCAUCCCAGCAAAGCAGAGGAGACUUUAAAGCCGCGUUAGAGGCAGAGCGGGGAAACUGGAAAGAGAAGGAUGGGAAAGUCCAAAAGGGAUUUUCUUUUCCUGCUUGGCUUGAAGAGAUAAUUCAAUUCCUUUAACAUCUCCCUUAUGCGGACAGUUUCUUACAAUCUUUUGGAUGCUGAGCUUGGGCUUCUCCGAAAUCAUAUAAACCUGACCCCCCCCCCCACCAACCCACUCGAGCUUCUUUUUUCUGUUUACUACAUCAGGAAACAAAUCUCGUUUAGAGGGUGACCGCUUUAACUCACUAUCUGCAUUUAUGAAAUGUAAUGUACGUAUUUGGUUUCUUUGAAAAUCUCCCGUUACAGUACUGGGAAUGUUACUCUGAUGU